UGCCCAUUAAUUGUGGGAUAGAAUGAAUGGGAUAACGAAAUAUAAUCUAUAUCAAGUAGUAUAUAAUUAAAUUAAUUUUUAAGUGAAAAAGCUUAAAUAAAAUUAAAAGACAAGAAGACCCUAUAGAGCUUUAAUUAAUAAAUUUAAUAAUUUUUAAUAAUUUCGGUUGGGGCGACCUGGGAUUUCAUCAUCCCAAAUCUAGUAAGAGCUAUGACUCAAAUAAUGAUCCUACGAAUUAGAUAAUAAAUCAAGCUACCUUAGGGAUAACAGGCUAAUCU
rnacentral:rRNA from 1 species